CCUCCUGUGUUUUCCUCCAGAGGUUAAACUGCACUGUGUGCUUCACUCAUAUGUCUGGUCAUGGAUUUACCAAGCCAAUGUGUUGUUGCUUCUGCUUAAGAAGAACUGGAAAUCUGCUAUUGUUAUCACUGUCACCAUCCAACUGAUUAGAGCAGAGAAAGAUGGGGUGCUGCUCUGGAAGAUGCAUGCUGGCCCUGCUGUGCUGUGUGCAGUUGAUAACCGCCAUGGAGAGGCAGGUGUUUGACUUCCUGGGCUACCAGUGGGCCCCCAUCAUGGUCAACUUCUUUCACAUCAUCAUGGUCAUCCUGGGCCUGUUUGGGGCCGUCCAGUACCAAUCGCGCUACGUCAUCAUGUACCUGCUGUGGAUGUUUAUCUGGGUUGGUUGGAAUGUCUUUGUGAGCUGUCUCUACCUGGAUAUGGGAGGCCUUUCAAAGGGCAGCAACAUCCUCUCCCUGGGAGUGUCCUCACAUUCCUCCUGGUGGAAGAGCAACGGGCCUGGGUGUCAAAGUCCAAACCUUCCCUCUGACGGGUGGCAGGAUCACCAGAACCCCAAGCUGACCACAGUGCUCAGCUGCUGGCUCCAAUACCAGUACAUAGAGGUUCUGCACAGUACCACACAGCUCCUUCUCUCUCUCCUGGCAAUAGUCUAUUCCUGCUAUGUUGUCAGCAUAUUUUCAGGGGAAGAGAGCUUUCUUUCAUAUUAAGUAUUAACUGCUGCUGGUGAAACGGAAGAUAAAACAGCAUCAAGGACAUCUCUAAAAUUACAAAUGAACCCAAAGUACCUCUUCAAUAAUCCUGAAAGGAUCCAGAGCCCUUUAAGACCCAGUCAUCAACAUCAUCAUCAUCAUUGUAAUCAUCAUCAUCGUCAUGUGUUUGUCUGUGCUAAACUCAUAUAAGGAACACUGUUUAUGGAUGGAAUUUGUGAUAAAGGCAUAAUUAAUUUGUUA